AGAAUGAGGAACACUUCUAUGACCCACAGAGUGGAUCCAGCUACUUGGCCUGGAGGAUAAAGACUGUUCAGCGCAACACUGCAGCUCAGUCCUGGAGAUCUUCCACCAGCACAACCUAUCAAGAUAGUCCAAAGAGGGAGGUUCUCUGCACUGAUAAGCAGCUGCUUGAUGAGCACUGUCAUGAAGCAGUAUCCUUUUUGAAACAUUCAACUGAUGAAUCGGCAAUCAAAGAGAAGAUGAGGGCCACGUUUCAGUACCGCCAAACACUGGUUCAAGAUCAGCAGUGCUCUUCGACAGUCUUGGAUGUCUUCCCAUGAUUCCUCAACAUCACUGGCUUGGCUGGGACAGUGACCUGUCAAGCAUUUGACUGUUGGUUCACCUGCUUCCCCCUACCUCCAAAGGCCACAAGAAGAGUGCUAAAAUCAGCUCCUGUCAAGCUGUUGACCACGUUGUGAGAUUUGCAGAUGGGAGCCAGUGUUGAAACCUUCCUUGCUGUUGUGGAGCCAGGACAGCCCUUCCUCCUGUGUGUUGGUGAAAAGAAGAACAGCAUCCAAAGAUACUGUGUCAUCAUUGAUCACAAGGCCAUCCCUUGCAAGGCACAGACAUCCCUGGCAGCUUUCAAUGAGCUCUUCAAAGCACACUUCAUCUUCAGUGUCAACUACCAUGAAUCCCUCUACAACUUCUAUACUGUUAGAUCAGAGAUUUACCAUCUCUUCCUCUUGCCCCAAUCGGAGCGAUUACCCUCUCACAGAUCGGUCCCCCCAUGUCACCCAGAACUCUGGGGCGAAUCAUGAAACAAGACAGGAACCCAGAAAUUAGUUUCACCAUCUUUAUUCACAGCUUCGCCGAAAGGCAAAGAGAAAACAGGAGAUUUUAUAUGCAUGUGUGUUUUGCUAUCUGUAACUAGGUCAGUCUGUAAGCCCUUAUCAACAAUACUCAAGGUUGACUGAGAAAGGAAUGUAUGCUGGAGAGAGAGAGAGAGAAAACCUUCUGUAUGUGUGAGUGAAACCUUGGUCUGAGCAGGUCACAUCUUAAUUACGUCAAUAAGCAAAAUAUUCUGAUAGGAUGUUCAGACAGAUAUCAAAGGCCAUUUCUUAUCAAUAAUGUUCUGAUGUACAGCCUAUUCUUAAGAUAGAACACAGCCUUACGACAGAAAUGGAAUUUUUAAACAAUGUCUAGCUGACCAGAAGGUCAUUUUUAACUGUUUUAGCUGAACAGAAUAAAUCCUUUACAAUUAUUAAGAAUAAAUUCUUACAAUUAAGAAUAAAUCCUUACAUAUACAUUCAUCCAAACCACAUUUUUUAACAUCGAUGUAGGAAGUGCCAAGGAAAGUCCCAGAGUGAAGGAGCUAAGAGCAAGAUUUUUGCACGACACUUGAGGUAAUAAAUAUCCUUGGAUGCCAAAUAUGUUUCUUUAUGUCUGUAAGGCACACCACAAGUUCUGCAUUGCUUUGUCAGCAUUUAAGACUCCACCACAGUCUAUAUCCUGGAAAGGCUUGUUUGAAAUGUGGACAGCCGGGAUGUUGUUUAUCAUUUUGCACUUAUUCAGGUUUCAAGAAGCAUCUUGUUCAUUUCCAUAGAGAUGUUGCUUUGAUUAAUACUGCUGAAAAUGUGGACACUCAGAAUGAAGCUGGUGAGCCCUCAACUUUACAGGCAGUCAGUACAGGCUCUCCAAUAACUAGCCAGCUCUCUGUUGACAAUCACGUGUUAAACGUGUGCUUCUGUUGUCGCACAGUUGCAAGCAUCAGGUGUUGCUGAGAGCACAGUCCAAGCAAUGGUGGGGUCCAUGGAGGAACUUGUAAAUGACAUUCAUAUGCAAGCGAGAGAGGCAGUUCUUAGCUGUACGUCAGAAAUUCAAGGCACAGAUUUGGAAAAGAAGGUGGAAAAGUGUUUUGAUCAACUAGAAAAUCCUUUCUCAUCCUUGAAUACAAGAGUCAAACGACAGAAGUUCUUUGAGGAAAAGUGGGAAAUUGUUGAGCCUGUUGAAUGUUCUUGGGGUGCGGUUUGAUGUUCGCAGAGAUCAAACAGGAGUUUAGUCAGGUCCCUAUAACAGAUAAAUUUGUGUAUACACCCAUUCUCUGAACUCUUAAGUCUAUGUUCAAGAACACUGAAUUAUAUGAAAGUUUCUUGCAAGCCAAACAUCACGAAGAAGGCAUUUAUAAAGACGCAUGUGAUGGUUCAUACUUCAAAAGUAACAUUUUGUUUUUCCAGAAAAAACAUGCUCUACAGAUUUCAACUUUUAUUUUGAUGAGUUUGAGACAGCAAAUCCCUUAGGUUCAAAGAAAGGGAUCUACAAACUUGGUUGUCUCAUCUCAUUAU